AAGAAGAACAGACUGAAAAAAUGCUGCUUAUCCUAUAGUGUGUGUGCUGCUGGGAGGAGGAGUGUGAGAGGCAGCUGGCCAUGGCUGGGAAUGGCCACCCUGCCAAGAAGCACCCUGAUAAGGAUGGAAAUCCUUGUGUAACACUUCCUUAGUUAUCAGAGGGAAAGAAACACUUGAAAAAACAUUGUUUUCCCAGAGGAAAGCAGCACCAACAGAGCAAUUACUUUUUUUUUCUUUAGCUUGUUCUCUGUUGACUUGCUGACACCAGCACAGCCAUUCAGGCUGUGCACUCUCUGCCACUUUACCCAUCUCUGCAGGUGCCCUCUGAGAUCAGUCAGCUCCUGGUUCAAUGCAUACCCUUCCUUGGUCAGGGCUGCAGGUGUGGUGUUCAGCAAAAGGAAAGCCAGAGUGAUUUUCACAGAAUCCAGCUAGCAAAUGAUGCACUCACAGCCCACUGGCUUGCUCAGUUACUUUUGGUAGUUCUUGUAAAUGGCUUUUAUUAACCUCAUGAUUCCAAACGGCCCAGCUUCCAAACUCCUCUGCAGGGCCUGGCUCUGUGCUGCAUUGCAGCAGGCCCAGAGGGAAGCACUGGAGCUAUUUAGGGAGACAAAAUGCACUUAGAAUCCAUGGAAUCUGCCCGGGAUCUUGAGGCUGUCAUCCCACCUCGUGCAGCACACUGACAGCCACACGUGGCACGCAGCUUGGAGAUGCCCCAUCCCAGCAGGGUGAGCAGAGUGGCACUGAGCAUCCCCCGGUGCUGGGUGCUGCUGUGCAUUGCUGUGUGCCACAGCAGGGCUCUGGUGGCCUUGUGACAGAGCUUUCUCGUGCAAACCCACAGUGACUUCUCGCACAAUGACCAGCGGGUGCUAUAUUUGUCCUGGUGCUGACACGUCUUUAAAUAGCGGAGGUUACGCUUCAAGUUCCCCAUUUAGAGGGCUCACCACCAUCACUUUCACUGAGUGCAGCUCUUCCAGAGCCAUUUGAAAAGGAGCAGAGCCUCCUUGAGCACCGCUUUGAUCCCACAACAUUGUUCUGAACAGAAAUCAUUGCCAGUCUGUGGAGUCUUUGCUAUACCUAUUCUGUAAGCAUUUUCCCUUUUCAUUUUUUUUUUUUCUUCCCUUCCCAAACCACCUCCUCCCAUCUCCAAGUUCCUUCUGAGCUGCCCUCAAGUUGCUCAUCUCCUCCAUUCUCAUUGCAGCCUGUUGGUUCAAGCUGCCCUCGCUGCCUCACCUCGGAUCAAUGCCUGAUUUCCAGCCAUCCCCUGAGAAGCAUGACCUCACCUUUUUGGCUGGGGUGCCCUGCUCCAGCACUGCUGGGACAUCUGUUUGCAAUGUGAGGGAUAGAAAACCGUUGCCUCUUUUCUUUCUUUUGUUUCCAUCACGUUGGUUCUUCGCACUUAGGCUCAGCUCCUGCUAAUUUGUCAUGCUGAUGGAUGCACCUCUGAGCCCAAGAGCUUUGCAGCUGCCCCAGCUGAGCGAGCCCAGCCCAGGCUUUUGCUUCCCAGUCUCUUUCUUUCUAAUAUGAUUUUAGUUAUUCUUCUGACUAUGCUGUCUUUCAGUGAGGACUGCGUUGGCAAAUGGCCGUUCAACCUAAGCUUUCUGCUGCACCAAAAAAGAACCAGGCAUGGGAAAUGAGCCAGAAGAGAGGCCUUUCUGGGUGGAAAGCAGUGUCUGCAGCAGCUCUACAACUGUUUCUAGUAGUGGUCCUUUGUUUGGAGAAGGAGAGAGAGAUUCUCCUUCUGAUGACAGGAGAAAACUUACCCAGUGCAUAGGGUAACCGCUGGGGUUGGGGUGGGUUGGGUUGCACGAGGGUGGAGUGAGGGUGAACUUUGAGGUUCUGCUUUCCUCAUCCUCUGAGCCCUGAGGAGCAGCAGAGCUCUCUGUGUGUUGGCUGUGUGCUGCAAGCUGUGCAGGAGGGAGGUAUGCAGCCCCUGCAGCUCACCUCCUGGAGAGAGGGAAGGGAAAAGGAGCCCAAAUGGCACUGGCUGCGUUUGGGGAACACUGGAGAACAUGGAGCCAUGGGAAGCACCACAGCUUCUCACCACUGCAGAAGCUUUGCUCUCCUCUUGGUGACCCUCCUUGGUUUAGCUGUGCCGUGAACACAUGUAUGACAGUUACUCUGUCUUUGCAAUGUCAGAGUUAAACUUUCCCCUUAUUUUAGCAGAACACAUGGUUUUGCUUAGCACUAGCUGAGGAAUUACAAGCCGUAUGUCUUGAAUAUGUAUCUGCCAAGGUAAGUAAUCUCUGCUGUGAACUUGAACAAUCAAAGCUUGGGGUUAUUUGUUUUCCUACGUAUAGAUUAGCCAGCUGCACGUCUCCAACAUUUGUGGAUGUUUUUGCUGAGCACACCCCCAUGGCUGCACUGAGCCAUCACUGGGAGGGGACCUAGGAGCCCUGCAAAGCACAGUGAGCCAUGGCUAUUGCAAUUUCCAUCAUCAGGUCCUUGCAGAAAGAAUAUCAGGUACGGCGGGAGCUCUUCAAGCACUGAGCUGGGCCCUGAAGGAUGGCAUCACCUCUACUGGAAAACCUCCACCUGUGCUCCUGGCAGGGCUUGCAACAACCAUCCUUUGCUGCUGGAGCCACAGGCGGAGCAGCAGCAGGCACAGAGCCUGCCAGGGCUGGAGCUCAGCAGAAAUGCAUCCAGAGAGCAAAGCACGGCGCUCCGAGUGGCACAGGCAGUGGGAUGCAGGCUGCUCUGUGCUCAGACUGCAUCCCCCCUCUGCAGGGAGGUGUGAGGUCAGGAAGGAAGGAAAGUGUCUGCUCCCUCCUGCCCCAGGGAGCAGCUUGCAGGGAAGGAGCAGGAGGAAACCAUGCGAGUGCAGCGGGGAUUGCUGCAGGGAUCACCAUCCGGCUCUCCAACAGCACUGCUGCCCCACACCAGCACAGAUAAUACAAAAAAUCCAUCAUCAAAGGGACAUAAAGACAACGAAAUCUGCUCAGCACAGCUCCCAGGGCUGUGACCUGCGUGUGAGCUUUGCUCAGCUAGGGACAGGCAGGAACCCGGCUCUGCCUGCCACGUCCUGAGGGUUUUGUUAGGUCCACAGAACACUCAGCACUGCUCUGAUUCAUUUGGGGUUCUUGUUGCUAAUGUAUCCAGGAGGAUUUUCCUGAGCUGCGUCUAUUCUGAGCCCUCUGUGAGCCGCAGCGCUGAGGUGUCUCAGCAGAGACGUGAGUACAGCGAGCCCCGUGUCAGCCCCCAGGCUCCGAAAUAGCCCCGACCCCAGGGAUGAAAGGAGCCCGCAGCACAUCCACAAAGCACUGCAGUGGAGCACGGGGACCUGGUGGCCAAUGCCACCAUGAAUGUGCUGCUUGUGGAGGCGGACGUGCCGUUCACACAGGCAUUGAGGCUGUGCCAUCAAUGAGAUCUUGUUCAGGCUCUGCUUCUUCGGUCCUCAUUGAACGUGGAAGCUGCUGUGAAUUUGAUACCUCCAGAUUCAAACUCGUUCCAUUACAGAGCACACAGAGGGGGCAAGAGGAGAACUCGCUGGGCUGGAUUUUCAGGGGAGCCAAUUAAGCUGCUGGCUGUUGGGCUGAGCUGCUGCCUCUCUGUGAACCUGAUGGAAAGCUGAGAGAGAUUUUUCCUAAAGCUGAGCAAACUGGGCUUCUGGAAAGGCAGCUGGAGCCAAGAGCAGGCAGGUAGAAAUAAUAAGAAUUAGAGACUUAGCCUGAGCGUGGUGUGCAAUGCUGUAAGCUUGGAGGACACUCAUCAUUGCUUUAUGGCCCUGAGAUGACUGUAGAAUGCUGCAAGCAUCCCCAGGCUGCCUCUAUCUCACGUGGACCUCUAAUGGAACUGCACAGCAAGGUGUGAGGCACAGGCUGGGGCUUCAGCACAGCAAUAGGCACAGCAGUGCCUGUGGGUGGCUCAGACUCAUCUCUGACACGUAGGUUUUCCAUACUAACAAUAAUUAAUCUGUGCACUGCCUGCUACCUGGCUGGGGUGGCCACUGCCUCAGCUCUCUGUGUGUCAGAGCAGAGGAGAUGCAGCUAGAGCAAAGGAGCUCACCUGGACCUCUCUGCCCAUUUUUGGGCCCUGGCUAUAGGGCACACGCAGGACAGUGCAUGCUGUAGCAACACAGAAUGAAGUCCUGAUGGAUCACGAGGUGAAGUCCAAACCCCAUUGGGUCCUGGGCAUCAAAUCAGGCUCCCAUCAUGGCCUCAGCCAUCACCUGGCUCUGCUCUGUCAAGUUACACUGCACAAUAAAACCAUAUAGGAAAAGAGCAAACGGACACUGCCUGAUUUAUUUUCAUUUGCCUGAGUUUUUUUUUUAGCUCAAUGUUGAGGAAAGGCUUUGGUAGGAAGCAGUAAUGUUAUUCAUCUGGCUGUAAGCACUGCUGGGUUGAGUGUCUGUUGCCAUGCUUGAUUCCUUGCAGCUGCUCAGGGUUAGUUAAUUAUCUG